rnacentral:sRNA from 1 species
UUGUGAAAUUCAUUGAUUAAAAAUUGACUGAUUUUGUGAAAGUGCUCAGACAUCUAUAAUCUGUUAGUACUCAUAACAAUCUCAGUUUAAGAAAACUUACAGCAGCACAACUUCUAUUUGAUAUAUGACAGAUAUGACAAUGUGUCUAUUCAUUGUUCACAAAGCAAGAGUAUACUGAGGGAUUCUGCAAUCUCUUCAGACAACCCAAGCAAAUGCUCUCAAUGACAGACAGUAUAUCACUCUUUAUAGACUUCAAAUCAGCAACAGAAACAGCUGAUUCUGACAUUCUAUCAUAACUUUAAUCAGUAUCAAGACCUUGUUCAAAGAAGAAGG